rnacentral:lncRNA from 1 species
GAAAUAUCUAAUUCUAUGUGCUUUUUGGCUUUUCAGACUGCAGAACAAAAUAACAGAUUCGAAUCAGAGAGGCAAAUAAAUAGGAUUUGAGUUACUUCAAACUGCCAAUUUGAACAAGGCUUUAGUGACAUUUCACUGUAGCUUGACAAAUUAGGCCAAUGUCAAGGUCUUUGACAUCAGCAAAAGAUGACUUAGUUGAGUCACUGACUGACUGUGCCAUCGAAAUCUGGUCUAAACUUGUUAUUCAAGCCAAGGGCCUUACAGACCGACCGGCUGAUUGUUUAGCAACAAAACCGAUGCUUGCGCAACUAUGGGGAAAAACAGGCUUGGCUUAGAUUGUUGACAACAUGUAAACUAUAUUUAGUCUCCAAAUGUUAAUUGAAAACAUACAUAUAUUUGCACAAUGGGCAUUUGUUGUCUCAAAUACAUCGUUACAGUUGUUGGUUAGCUAGCUAGCUAAUUUUAUCCAUAUUAGCGUUGACAUGAAAUCAGUCAAAACACCUCAAAACAAGACAUGGCAUCAAGAAUAAGACAAACCUAGCUGAAACGAACAAUCCACCUACGAUUCCCCACAUGGCAGCUUGUUGUCAUUGCUGCUAGCUGACCGUUCAGAAUCAUAACAACGCACAGCUUCUGACCCCAUCGAUGCGCGCAUCAUUUUCCUGACUUUGUCUGCCAACUCGUCUAUGGGAAGUGAUCUGUCGACCUGUGUGGAGGUAGAUACAUACAAACCGUCUGACCCGUCUUACCGCCUCAUUUGUCAUCUCCCUUCACUGGCUGUGUGAGCGGUAGCUGACAGACGGGGUAUAAGCCUGGCCUGUCUGGUGUUGAGAGCCGGGCUUUCCACGCUGAAUAGAGAAACUAUGCACCAACGCCGGAGGAAAACAUGUAACGACACACACUGGCACACUCCCCCACUGAGAGCUGCUUUAGAGAGGUAUCCCAUAUCACUUUGCCCUGAGGCCUGAUACUGUACCUCCAGAAGACAACCUGAGGCCUGAUACCUCCAGAAGAC